ensembl:lncRNA MVP-DT MVP divergent transcript
GGACAGGGGGGGCGGCCCCCCCCAGAUGGGUCUGCAUGUGGCCGGCCAGCUGGGCAGGGGUCUUGCAGUGCACGCUGCACAGCUUGCACAGGAUGCGGUCAGCCCGCGGGGCCUGGAGCCCGUGGUCCUUCACCGCGUGGAUGCGCAGAACUCAUUCUCCAUGGCCGGGAGACCUCUCCCAGGAUGACGAGACACUGACUCCUAGCCACUUGCAGGGUUGACCCUCAGCAGAGACGGCUGUGUCCCCUUCCCUCCAGUGCCCCGCGGUCUCAACCCAGUUAACCGGAAUCUAGACGCCACGAGCUCUUGGCUACAGCACCCUUAACCCGUAUCCGUGGCAAGGCGUCUGGCCAGGCGCCCACCCUCUGCCCCUGGCCCUCCCGGCAGCCCUCGGCAUGUACCUUUGUUGCAGAGCUCACAGACAUGGUGAGGACCCUGGCUGUGCACCUUCAUGUGGUCCGAAAUAUAAGCCGAGCUCAGCAUCUUGCCACACA